AAAAGAGUGAAGGAAAAUAAAAGGAAUAUCGAAUUUGCUUUGUAGCAUUUGUUUUUUCUUUGGAAGUAUCCUAUUUUCAGCUACUUCAAAUUUUAUUCUAUUAUUUCCCCUUCUUCUAUUAUUAUUUGCCCCCUCCCUUUUGCCUUUCGGUCCAAAAACUGUCUUCUUUAUCAACUGCUGAUAAAUUGAAGCUGCUUCUCUUCAUUCCUCACUGUUUGUUUCUGAGCCUUGUUCUUUCUUAGCUGCCAUGUCAUUCCGGGGACUAAGCCGGGUAUCUUUUUUUUUUUUUUUCCCUAUAUCGUUCUCUAUGUGUGCUGUUUGAUUGUAGUUUCUUUUUUUAGCUUGUUUUCUGCUGAAAAAUUCUGGUUUUUGUGGAACUGGAUUUGAAUUUUUAUAUGGGUAGUUUUAAGUUCCUCUGCUGAUCCCUUUUGGAGUAGUUUUGCAUGCAAAUCUAGAUCACCUGUUUUAAUGUUAAUUUAAGAUCAGAAAGGUACAGGAAAACGAUUGGGUUUUCUUCAACUGAAAUCACUUUUAUAAUUCUUUGAUGAUCUUGGGUGUUAAAUAAUGGCAAUCCAAGAGAUUUUUAUAUCAGCCAAACUAACCAGGCUUAAUUCCGCAAGCAAAUUUCUCAUUCAUUUGGGUUUUUUUAAGGAGUACAAUUUUAAUAUUUUGAAUCGUCUAGAAUGGAAAAAACUGCUUUUGCAUGCAAACCCUUUGAUGAUUGUAUGUCGAAAGGUAAGAAAUUCUCAGUAAAAUUCUCUAUAUUGGAAUAUGUAUACAUAGAUAUUAUAGUGGGUCACUUCUAUAUAAUUUUUUGAUUUGAUUUGAAUUUCCAGCCCAAUGCAACGUCAGGGAUGGGCGUUGCUGAUCACAGCAUAAACACAUUCUUGGAACUGAAGAGGAAGAAGGUCCACCGAUAUGUGGUGUUUAAAAUUGAUGAGAAGAAGAAAGAGGUUUUGGUUGAGAAGACUGGAGGGCCAGCUGAGAGUUAUGAUGACUUUACUGCUUCCUUGCCUGAGAAUGAUUGCCGUUAUGCUGUCUACGACUUUGAUUUUGUGACUUCUGAGAAUUGCCAAAAGAGCAAGAUCUUCUUCAUUUCAUGGUUAGUUUCUUUCUCAUGAUGGAUGCUGUUUCAUUAGAAUACUGCAGUUGUAGUUUAACUUGUUUUAUCUGCUUUACGUGUCAAUUUUGCGAAUUCUGUUUUAUGUUGUAUGCAAGUCUUUUAUCAAAUCUUGAAAUCUUCCCCCAAAUGUGUUGUUCAAGCUUAGAACUGUGUUUCUUAUUCAAAUCCCUUGUUUCUUUUAUAGUUAUCUUUGUUUCUCGUCCAAGUAACUAUUGAUACACUUUUUCUCUGAGCAUCCUGGUGUUCUUUUGUUCUAUGAACUCUAUUCAAUGCCUUUGGUAUCUACUUUUGGUACUUCGUCCUUUUGUGUUUUGGUGGAUGUUUCUAGGUUUGGGCUGUUUCCAGCUUUGUCUGGGUAACUUUUUUCUAGGGCCAGGCCAUUAAGCCCUAUGGUCCACUUGGAAGAGGGAUGGAGGUAGUCAAUUUUGUUGCUCAUCUCCUUCGAACCGUUUGGAUAUUUGAUAACUAGAUUUUUUUUUAUAACUAUUUUCUUUUAGUGCAUAGGAAGUUCUUAAAGGAACGGAUUCUAAGGUUUAAACUCCUGAUCUUCUAUAUUAUGAGGCAAACGCUUGAUCAUUGGAUUGUUAGUAUAAUAACAAAAUCUUUUUGUCUUUGAGCUAGAGUAUCCAACAUUCUUGGCAAGAGCAGAGUAUUCUUGAGUGGUCCUCUAAGUUCAGCAAAAGAAUGCAAUGUGACUGGGGAAUGCUUCUUUGGGGUCUAUCUGUGUCAUGUACAUGUUGCCUCUGUCUGUCUUUCUCACUUAUCCUCACUUUCUUCGUGUAUGAGAGGGAGAGGGAGAGGGAGAGGAAGAGGAAGAAGUAGAGGAGGAGGAGGAAGAUAAGAGUGAAGGGGAGGGAGAUAUGCAGAAUGAUAGCCAUAAAGAUGCUGAGAUGGAAGAACUUGAGAAAGAAUACAUGCAUCUUCGUAACCAAGAGCAAGAUAUAUUGAAGAAUCUCAAACGCCAUAAGGAUGAAGAUCUUCUUAAAGGUCAAGCAGUGAAGAACCAAAAGGCUCUCUGGGACAAGACUCUUGAGUUUAGGUUCUUACUUCAGAAAGCAUUUUCAAGUUCAAAUAGAUUGCCACAGGAACCAGUUAGGUCGUCAUUUUGUGAUUCAGAUGGAGGAGUUAGUACAGCUUAUACUGAUCUGAUUGCCUCAUCUGAGAAGACUUUGGAAUCACUGCUGGAAUUACAGGAGGCUUUACUCGAGAAUAAUCCAUCUAUAUAUCAAUCUUCCAAUGGUAAUUCUGGGAAAUCUGCAAAGAAGCUUCCGAAAGAUUCUAAGAAAUCAGAUGAGGAAAGUGAUGAAGAAUGGUUAAGAAUUUCUCACAUGCAUAGUAGAAUAGCUCCUUUUAGAGACAAAUCAAUUGAUAAAUGGCAGAGAAAGACGCAAGUGACAACUGGUGCUGCUGCUAUUAAAAGCAAAUUGCAGGCUUUUAAUCAGAAUAUAAGUGAACAAGUUGCUUCUUAUAUGAGGGAUCCAAGUAGAAUGAUGAAGCAAAUGCAACAAAGUAGAUCAACAGUCAGUAUAUUUGGAACUGUUAAGUCAAUCUACUCUUCUUUCAAGUUUAGUUUCAAAAAAUAAUCCAAAACUCAUGGCAUGAUGAGUUGGAUAAUCCUUCAUUCUUUUUUUUGGGCCCUUCUCCCCACUUCCUUCCCAAAAUAAAAAACAAAUAUACUGAUACCUGCACUACUUUUGGGCAGGUUUCUGAGCAGCUUGAAAAUGCCAAGGGAGAGGUAAUUCAGCAUCUGUGCCUAUAGCAAAACUGAAAAAAUUGAAGUAUUGUUUAUUUUAAUUUGGUAUAAAAGUACCAAGUCAAGCCUUGGGAUGAGAGCAUUUGAUAGUAUUAAUUCACACUUGUGUGCAAAUAAAGCAUUUGUAUGAAGAAUUGUACAAAAUUUAAUAAUCUUAGUGCUGAUCACAUUACAACUUGUGGACAUAAUAUUGAAGGUUGAUUUCUUUCAAUCUAACUGGAAUUUUGUUAAAUCAUUUAACUUUUGACUAGGCAGCAAGUCCUGAUGUUGACCCUGAACUUCUUGAUGACACGGAAUUUUAUCAGCAAUUACUGAAAGAAUUUUUUGAGUCAAUCGACCCCACAUCCUCUGAAAUGGCUUUUUAUGCUCUGAAAAAAUUGCAAAAUAAGAAGAGAAAGAUUGUCGAUCGGCGUGCCUCGAAGAGUCGGAAGAUCAGGUACAAUGUCCAUGAGAAGAUUGUCAAUUUCAUGGCUCCACAGGCCAUGAACAUUCCUCCUAUGGCUCCCAAGUUGUUUGCAAAUUUGUUUGGACUUAAGAGCCACCAACCUGCAUCAGCUGUUUAGUAUCGCGGGUAGAUACAUCAUGUGAGCUCAAUUUUGUGGAGUUGAAUCGAGGUUAAAAUUCAUGUUGUUUUUGUUCUUAUGAUAGAAACUUUUAAUAGUAUUGUAAGUUUGUAACUGAAAAUGUCCUUUGCAAGCUACUUCUUGCUGAGAGAUAGGGUUCAUGAGUGAAACCGAUCCUCAAUGCUUAAUUUUUUGGAUUCAUUUCUUGAACUUGAAAUCUUACUAUUCUAGUAUUGUAGUACCAUUCUUAUAAGCAUUUUUGAAUGACCUUUGGUGUACAGCCUUAACCAUGAUUAGUUCAUUUUGCUAGAAUAUUGUAUCACCAGAAUCCAAAAGCAUCCAGUAUAUUGGAAUUAAAAGGAUUUUAAGGUUUAAUUUAGCCCUCAUAAUCAACCCUUAAGCAUAGAAACCAGCAUUCAUUAAUCUUGUAAUCCAGUUACGUGGCUAAUCAUAUGCCAACAUGAAUGAGAGGGAAGAGGGAAUGAAAAUUAGUCUGCUAUUGCUGUUAAAGUAAUUGAGAAAUAUACUUUGAUUAAAAAUUUUAAAUACAUUAAUUAAAGUAUUAAAAAUAAAAUUUAUUAAUAGUUUUUCUCUCAAAUCAAUUUUUUUAACUGUCUAAAAUAACAUUUUUUUUAAUCCUAAAAUCUAAUGCCGCACGGAGCCUUAAUAAGUAGGGUCUUUGACGCUGGGUGAGCAAUCUCGCCCAAAGCAAAAGCAACAUAUAUUCUGAACUCCCUAUGGACUGGGUUAUUUUCAAGUUCUGAUUCCACAUAGACUGAAAGUUAACAAUGUCACUUUUUUAAUUUUUUUUUUUUUUCGGCAUUUGCAUUUGCCAUGGGAACAUGAUUUUGUGCGCUCAAUACCUCAAAAGGCAUAUGAUAUGGAACUAUAACACGAUGGCAAAUCCUCGAGACGCGUAGAAUGGAAUACCACUACCACAAAAGCUUGUCAACAUGCCAGCACUGAUCCUUGUUUUCUCUUCUAAUGCUUGCACAGUUGGCAGAACCAAUACUCAAAACACCACAAUCGAAUCUUUUGUUUGACCCAAAACCCUGAGGGGGGUGCAAAAAGAAAAGAAAGAAAGCCUCAUACCGUGUGCUUGUUCUACCAAAGCAUGCAGAUUCCAAAAGAAAACUCAUGCUUGCAUAUGAAAAGAAUUUAACUUUCAAAUAUCCAAAAUCAAUCAUUACAAUACUAGGAUACUCUUUUUCAUUAAGCACUAAUAUUAAAAGAUCUCGCGCAUCAUUGCAACAAGAAGCAUAAAUAAUCUACCUACAUGGCUCAUAAAAUGAAGUAUUGAGGAGUGAGCGAGUUACCACUGGCAGUGAAUUUCCAUAAAAGUUCUUAAAUUCCACCAUCAUCAUCUCUGCAAAAAUGACUGUUGAGCUUGAGCACCCGCUGCUUGUACCAAUUGAGAAUAAAUGCAUUCAUCUACCCUCUGUUUUGCCA
rnacentral:misc_RNA from 1 species